AUUGAACGCUGGCGGCAGGCUUAACACAUGCAAGUCGAGCGGAGAGGUAGUUUGCUACUGAUCUUAGCGGCGGACGGGUGAGUAAUGCUUAGGAAUCUGCCUAUUAGUGGGGGACAACAUUUCGAAAGGAAUGCUAAUACCGCAUACGUCCUACGGGAGAAAGCAGGGGAUCUUCGGACCUUGCGCUAAUAGAUGAGCCUAAGUCGGAUUAGCUAGUUGGUGGGGUAAAGGCCUACCAAGGCGACGAUCUGUAGCGGGUCUGAGAGGAUGAUCCGCCACACUGGGACUGAGACACGGCCCAGACUCCUACGGGAGGCAGCAGUGGGGAAUAUUGGACAAUGGGCGGAAGCCUGAUCCAGCCAUGCCGCGUGUGUGAAGAAGGCCUUAUGGUUGUAAAGCACUUUAAGCGAGGAGGAGGCUACUUUAGUUAAUACCUAGAGAUAGUGGACGUUACUCGCAGAAUAAGCACCGGCUAACUCUGUGCCAGCCGCCGCGGUAA
rnacentral:rRNA from 1 species